CAAUAUGCCAACCCGUAGGGCAAAUUACAUUUUCUCCACAUUUGUGACACGUUGAUCAUUUUCAGCAGCUGACGUUGCAACAGAGACUGGUUCAGAUCACAGUUGUUUUAUUCAACAAGAUCAGACCUUCUCUACUCUGGCCCGUUCACCUUUGAGACUCUCUGCUCCAACGUCAUUUUCAUUGGUUUAUGCUGGAGUACACAACCAUGGCUACCAGCAACCGAGGAAUGGCCCAGGUAUCAGGUUGUUACAGAGCAUUGGCCAGAGUGACUACCCCAGCCCUAUACAUCCCUCACUGCUGUCCACACACACGAUCACUGCUCUUGUAGAAGUCCCAAACACUGUUGAAGGUGUAUAAUUCAUUAAUACAUUAAACCAAGCCACCUGCUAGUAUCUGAAACUUAA